AUCGAGUGAUUCUCUUAAAUUAUAGAAUAUAUAAUGUUAAAACUAGUAACAAGAAGACAACCCUUCUCUACCAUGUACGUGUAAGCCAGAAAGGAUAAACCACUGUCAAUUAACACAAAUGAUUUCUAAUUAGCAACACCCCCGAAAACCCUACUUUAUUUAGCGUUAACCUAACACAAGAACAUUUCAAGAAAGAUAAAAAGAAAAAGAAGGAACUCGGCAAAUAAUAACCCCGCCUGUUUACCAAAAACAUCGCCUCUUGAUAAAAUAUAAGAGGUCCAGCCCGCCCAGUGACCUAGUUCAACGGCCGCGGUAUCCUAACCGUGCGAAGGUAGCGUAAUCACUUGUUCUUUAAAUGAGGACUAGUAUGAAUGGCAUCACGAGGGUUAAACUGUCUCCUUUCUCUAAUCAGUGAAACUAAUCUCCCCGUGAAGAAGCGAGGAUUAUUAUAUAAGACGAGAAGACCCUAUGGAGCUUAAAACAUAUUAACACUUGCUUACACCUGUUUUAAUUCGCGAACAAACACACAAAAUAAAGCAUCAUUGAUUUAUAGUUUUAGAUUGGGGUGAUCAUGGAGCAAAAAAUAACCUCCACGACGAAAAGGAAUAUUCCCUGAGCCAAAAACCACAACUUUAAGCACUAAAAAAUUAACGCAUCUUGACCCAAUUUUUUGAGCAACGAACCAAGUUACCCUAGGGAUAACAGCGCAAUCCACUUCAAGAGCCCCUAUCGACAAGUGGGCUUACGACCUCGAUGUUGGAUCAGGGUAUCCCAGUGGUGCAGCCGCUACUAAA
rnacentral:rRNA from 1 species